rnacentral:tRNA from 1 species
GGAUAGAGCCAUUUCGAUUUCGAUUCCGAGGGUCGGAGGUUCGAAUCCUUCCGAGCGCGCCA